rnacentral:misc_RNA from 1 species
GAUGAAGAACGCAGCGAAAUGCGAUAAGUAAUGUGAAUUGCAGAAUUCAGUGAAUCAUCGAAUCUUUGAACGCACAUUGCGCCCGCCAGUAUUCUGGCGGGCAUGCCUGUCUGAGCGUCAUUUCAACCCUCAUGCCCCUAGGGCGUGGUGUUGGGGAUCGGCCAAAGCCCGCGAGGGACGGCCGGCCCCUAAAUCUAGUGGCGGACCCGUCGUGGCCUCCUCUGCGAAGUAGUGAUAUUCCGCAUCGGAGAGCGAUGAGCCCCUGCCGUUAAACCCCCAACUUUCCAAGGUUGACCUCAGAUCAGGUAGGAAUACCCGCUGAACUUAAGCAUAUCAAUAAGCGAAGGA